CCCUUAGAUGUUCUGGGCUGCACGCGCGCUACACUGAAGCUAUCAACACGUUUUCCCUCCCUGAGAAGGGCGGGUAACCUUUUGAAUCAGCUUCGUGGUAGGGAUCGGGGCUUGCAAUUGUUCCCCGUGAACCAGGAAUUCCUAGUAGACGCGAGUCAUAAGCUCGCAUCGAUUAAGUCCCUGCCCUUCGUACACACCGCCCGUCGCUACUACCGAUUGAACGUUUUAGUGAGGCAUUUGGACCGACGCAUCUCAGUUUAACCGCUGGUUUGUGUUGGAAAGACUUCCAAACUUGAGCGUUUAGAGGAAGUAAAAGUCGUAACA
rnacentral:rRNA from 1 species